GACAGAGGUGCCAAGCGUUAGGCGGAAUCACUGGGCUUAAAGCGUGUGUAGGCGGAAUUGUAAGUACCUUGUGAAAUCCCACAGCUCAACUGUGGAACUGCUCGGUAUACUGCUUUUCUUGAGCCACUUAGGGGCUGUCGGAACAAACGGUGGAGCGGUGAAAUGCGUAGAUAUCAGGAAGAACACCCGUGGCGAAGGCGGCUCUCUGGGACGGUACUGACGCUGAGACGCGAAAGCGUGGGGAGCGAACAGG
rnacentral:rRNA from 1 species